UUAGUUUAAUGAUUCAAACUAAGGAAAAAUUUGGGCUUUUGUUUUGCCCUAGUCGCUGAUCGAUCGGGCAAAUGGGAAAACGGUAGAAAUGAACGAAGGCAAAUACGAAGGAGACGUGAAGGCAGUUGAUAGGUCCGACGAUUUCGGAUCAAUUUCAGGCGAAGGGAGCGUCUUCGGGGUCGGCGAGGCCGAAGCAACGAAGGGUCCGAUGGGGUGCGCGAGCAGAAGCAGCGACGAAGUCGAGACCUUCGGAGGUCUUUGGUCGAUGGGAACAGAAGAGAAAGAAAGCGAGGGGAAAGAGGUGAUUCGGUGGCGUUUGCGAAGGGAAGAAGAAGAGAUGGUUGCGAGAUCAAGUUGGAGAUGAAGCGAAUUGGAAGGAGCAGCCUUGCUCAAGAUGGAAUCUGCGAAGGAGUGGGAUUGAAGGUCGAUCCGAGGAAGCAAACAACGAAGGCUGAAGGUGGCGAUGGUGGGAGGUUGUUGUGAAGUCGAUGGAGGGUUUCUCCGGCGGUUGUAGGUGAGUGGAUGGGAGCUGCUCCGGCAGCCUCCCUGUUUUUCCUCGUUUUUUUUUUUUUCGUUUCUGAACAGGGACGUUGAAGAGAUAGAUGCGAGAGGUGUUUUGGAUUCGUUGUGGACCUGACAAGGAAGGGAUGGAGGGUUGUUGCCCUCCUGCUGGUCGGAAAACACCUACAUUUGGUGGUGUUUUUGACAGGAAAAACGAAGGGGAAGAAGAAAAGCAAAGGAAUUUUUGUGGUGUUUUUCUUGGCUGAGAACGAAGAUGCAAGCAGACCAUAAAUAAUCGAUCAAUUUUCAGUAGGUUGUGGGUUGUGUUUGAGUGUUGUUUGGAUGUAGGAAGCGUGCAAGCAAGCUUAAGAAAUGUCAACCUAUUUCCUUUGUGUGGAAAUUUAGAUGUGCAAAACUUAAUAGUUGUCAUUUAUGUAUAAUAUGUGUAUUUUGUGUGAAAUUUGUAAAUAAUGAAUUUUUCCA